rnacentral:rRNA from 1 species
GACGAACGCUGGCGGCGUGCCUAACACAUGCAAGUCGAGCGAGAGACUUCGGUCUCUAGCGGCGGACGGGUGAGUAACACGUGGGUAACCUGCCUCAUAGAGGGGGAUAGCCUCCCGAAAGGGAGAUUAAUACCGCAUAAUAUCAUGCUGUCGCAUGACAAUAUGAUUAAAGGAGUAAUCCGCUAUGAGAUGGACCCGCGGCGCAUUAGCUAGUUGGUGAGGUAACGGCUCACCAAGGCCACGAUGCGUAGCCGACCUGAGAGGGUGAUCGGCCACAUUGGAACUGAGACACGGUCCAGACUCCUACGGGAGGCAGCAGUGGGGAAUAUUGCACAAUGGGCGAAAGCCUGAUGCAGCAACGCCGCGUGGAGGAUGAAGGCCUUCGGGUUGUAAACUCUUGUCUUCUGGGACGAUAAUGACGGUACCAGAGGAGGAAGCCACGGCUAACUACGUGCCAGCAGCCGCGGUAAUACGUAGGUGGCAAGCGUUGUCCGGAUUUACUGGGCGUAAAGGAUGCGUAGGCGGAUAUUUAAGUGAGAUGUGAAAUUCCCGGGCUUAACUUGGGAGCUGCAUUUCAAACUGGGUAUCUAGAGUGUGGGAGAGGAAAGUGGAAUUCCUAGUGUAGCGGUGAAAUGCGUAGAGAUUAGGAAGAACCCCAGUGGCGAAGGCGACUUUCUGGACCAUAACUGACGCUGAGGCAUGAAAGCGUGGGGAGCAAACAGGAUUAGAUACCCUGGUAGUCCACGCCGUAAACGAUGAUACUAGUGUGGAGUUGUCAUGACUUCCGUGCCGCAGUUAA